rnacentral:rRNA from 1 species
CCUACGGGGGGCUGCAGUGGGGAAUAUUGGACAAUGGGGGGAACCCUGAUCCAGCCAUGCCGCGUGUGUGAAGAAGGCCCUCGGGGUGUAAAGCACUUUCAGUGAGGAAGAACGCCUGGUGGUUAAUACCCAUCAGGAAAGACAUCACUCACAGAAGAAGCACCGGCUAACUCCGUGCCAGCAGCCGCGGUAAUACGGAGGGUGCGAGCGUUAAUCGGAAUUACUGGGCGUAAAGCGCGCGUAGGUGGCUUGAUAAGCCGGUUGUGAAAGCCCCGGGCUCAACCUGGGAACGGCAUCCGGAACUGUCAAGCUAGAGUGCAGGAGAGGAAGGUAGAAUUCCCGGUGUAGCGGUGAAAUGCGUAGAGAUCGGGAGGAAUACCAGUGGCGAAGGCGGCCUUCUGGACUGACACUGACACUGAGGUGCGAAAGCGUGGGUAGCAAACAGGAUUAGAUACCCUUGUAGUC